CAGAAAUGAGAAAAACAUGUGUUGGCAGAAAAAGAGAGCAUGUGGUAAAGGAAAGUGCAAUAAAAAAAAAAAUCUAGAAAGAGAAGUUUAGGCUCCAUUUGGGAGGUUUUCAAAUCACUGGCUGGAAUUGGGGCUUUCUCCCAUAUGCACUGAAGGGUUUUGUUAGAAAUCAAGGAGGUUGCCACUGCCUUCUGCACCUCGAAAAAGACUGUCAUUGCUCUGAUGGCCUUCCUAUUGCAACUUCAGCUCUACAUUUCCUGUGAGUCCUGCAGCUGCUGGAAUGACCUAGCAAUUGGCUAGGUAUACCCUGAACUAUAUAAGAUGUAUGGUGGGCCAGAAGCAGGCCUUCUUCCUGCAGACUUGGAAGGAGCUGAUGACAAAGGUCUGCCAGCAGAGCACUGACUCUCGUGCUGAAUAUGCUGUACUUCUUUUCUUCCAGGAUGGCUUUUGUCAAAAGUUCAACUCUUGGGUUGCUAUGAUGAUCCACCCACCCUGGACCCGUACCCCUGUCGCCAGGCAACUGAAUUUUAAGAGGAAAUUCCUGGAGACCCUAAAACCUUCAAGACACAAAGAAUACAAGAUAGAGAAAAAUAGUGACAGUCAGUUCUUUUGGAGUAACAUAUCACUGCCUCAAACAUACUUCAUAGGUAAUGCUCCUUAUUUCUUUCUUCCAUGGCUCUGUGUGACUGGGGGGGAUAAGUAA
rnacentral:lncRNA from 12 species